UGGGCCAAACCUGAAUAAAAUCUGG
rnacentral:piRNA from 2 species